rnacentral:rRNA from 1 species
GGACCCGCACAAGUAGUGGAGCAUGUGGUUUAAUUCGAAGAUACGCGCAGAACCUUACCAACACUUGACAUGUUCGUCGCGACUCUAAGAGAUUAGAGUUUUCGGUUCGGCCGGACGAAACACAGGUGCUGCAUGGCUGUCGUCAGCUCGUGUCGUGAGAUGUUGGGUUAAGUCCCGCAACGAGCGCAACCCUCACUUUUAGUUGCCAUCAUUUAGUUGGGCACUCUGAAAGAACUGCCAGUGAUAAGCUGGAGGAAGGUGGGGAUGACGUCAAGUCCUCAUGGCCCUUACGUGUUGGGCUACACACGUGCUACAAUGGUAUUUACAACAGGAAGCAAGACGGCGACGUU